UGUUUCUGUUCAUGUACAUAUAGAGAGUUAAAAAAGGUUAUUUACUUAACAAUUAUAUUUCAUCAUGUUAUAUCGGCCACUCUUAUUUGAUAGGAGCAUCAAGAACUUGCUGAGAGAGUGAUGGUACGCGGCUUCAUCUUUAUGCAAAUGGGUCAAGAAAUGCAAUCACGCUGAGAUAUACCAAGAAAUCUCUGAUGAGAACUUGGCGUUGAUGAGGGAAAGGCUCAUGGAGACUGUAAUAUGGCCCUCGGAUGACACAAACACAGAAAAAAUUGGCUGAUAAUAAGUCAGGACUUCUCAUCUUACCUUUUGUUUUGCUUCCUUUCUAUGUUUUAGCCUCUUCUAAGCUUAGGUAUAAUUUUUGCUUCGAUAUGAAGUCAUGUUCCUUUCAAUUGUGAGCUUUGCGUUCUGUAAAUUGUGUAUAUAUGUAUAUAACUUCAUCUAUGUAUGAUCCAUGAUUUAGGCAGUUUGAUCCGAAGGAUU